rnacentral:rRNA from 1 species
CACGUAGGGCGCAAGCGUUGUCCGGAAUUAUUGGGCGUAAAGAGCUCGUAGGCGGCCUGUCGCGUCCGCUGUGAAAUCCCGGGGCUUAACCCCGGGCGUGCAGUGGAUACGGGCUGGCUGGAGGCAGGCAGGGGAGAACGGAAUUCCCGGUGUAGCGGUGAAAUGCGCAGAUAUCAGGAGGAACACCAAUUGCGAAGGCAGCUCGCUGGGACGUUACUGACGCUGAGACGCGAAAGCGUGGGGAGCAAACAGG